AUGGAGGAUCUGGAGCGUCGGCUAUGAUUUGCCAUGGUGGCCUAUGUGGGCGGUGCUCGGCGCCGGUUGUCGCCGCAGCGGGUGCAUGAAAUCUUGGAAGGAAAGCUGGAUAUCUCGGCGGACCAAGCCUCAGUUCAUCCAUAUCGGCCGGAAGAUUUCUUAGUGGUGUUUGCUUCUGCAGAGAUAAGGAACAGAGUGGCGGCAUGCCCGUCGGUAGAGUUUCAAGGGGACCGGCUGUUAUUCAGGCCAUGGAAUCAGCAAUCGCAAGCGGUCCACUCGGUGAUGGGUUUCAAAGUUUGGUUAGUGCUUGAAGGCAUCCCGCCCCAUGCUUGGGAUCGGGCAACAGCAGAGGAGCUGCUGGGAUCCUCGUGUAAGGUGGAUGUUGUGGCGCCGGAGUCUACCUCGCGGGCGGAUUUGUCUUCCUUCAAGCUUUCUGCGUGGACGGCCGACCCGGAUGAGAUCCCUACGAUGCGUUGGCUAGCAGUUCCGGAGCCUGGUACUGAGGCUCCGCCGCCAUUGCUGCAGUAUAAGGUUCUAAUCCAUGUCGAUGCGGUGGCGGACUUCAGGGACACAGGAGAGCCGCUUUUCCUCGGUGGAUCGUCGGACAGUGGUCAGAGCGGUAUUCCAGACUCAGAUGAGGACUUCGGCGGUGAAUCAAGGCCGCGCAAGCUUGUGUGGACGUUUGGGGUCCGGGACUCGCGGGGAGGUGGCCAGGGCAGCGGCGCCGCCGGCGUUGGGCAUGGAGGAUCGGUGCGGAGCCGUGUGGGGUCGGAUUGGCGUCUUCCGCCGAUGGACCCGGUUUCGGUCGUCAGCAGGAGUGGGCCAGGCAGGCAGGUGUGCGAGAGGCUAACCACUAGGCAAUCGGCUUUUGACCGGCUCAACGGCCAGCACGACCACUGUGCAGCUGAUAAAGGUUUGGUUCAAACCAAUUUGAAUGGCCAAGGCGCGGCUCAGUCGGGUCAGGUGACAGUUGUGAAGCGGGCCCUCAUGGCCUCCACGAUCGUGGCAAGUGCGCCGCAUCAAGCUGCGGGCCCAGAGAGGGUUCGAGAAGUGCGGCCUGGCAUGACUGGAUGA
rnacentral:rRNA from 1 species